ACGUACGCUGGCGGCACGCCUAACACAUGCAAGUCGAACGAAGUAGCAAUACUUAGUGGCAGACGGGUGAGUAACGUGUGGGUAUCUACCCUUUGGCCUGGAAUAACACGAGGAAACUUGUGCUAAUACCGGAUAAGUCUUUACGGAGAAAGCUUUAUGCACCAUUGGAUGAGCCCGCACUUGAUUAGUUUGUUGGUAGGGUAAUGGCCUACCAAGACUAUGAUCAAUAGCUGAUUUGAGAGGAUGAUCAGCCACAUUGGGACUGAGACACGGCCCAAACUCCUACGGGAGGCAGCAGUGGGGAAUCUUGCACAAUGGAGGAAACUCUGAUGCAGCGAUGCCGCGUGAGUGAAGAAGGCCUUUGGGUUGUAAAGCUCUUUCGUCGGGGAAGAAAAUGACUGUACCCGAAUAAGAAGGUCCGGCUAACUUCGUGCCAGCAGCCGCGGUAAUACGAAGGGACCUAGCGUAGUUCGGAAUUACUGGGCUUAAAGAGUUCGUAGGUGGUUGAAAAAGUUGGUGGUGAAAUCCCAGAGCUUAACUCUGGAACUGCCAUCAAAACUUUUCAGCUAGAGUAUGAUAGAGGAAAGCAGAAUUUCUAGUGUAGAGGUGAAAUUCGUAGAUAUUAGAAAGAAUACCAAUUGCGAAGGCAGCUUUCUGGAUCAUUACUGACACUGAGGAACGAAAGCAUGGGUAGCGAAGAGGAUUAGAUACCCUCGUAGUCCAUGCCGUAAACGAUGUGUGUUAGACGUUGGAAAUUUAUUUUCAGUGUCGCAGGGAAACCGAUAAACACACCGCCUGGGAAGUACGACCGCAAGGUUAAAACUCAAAUGAAUUGACGGGGACCCGCACAAGUAGUGGAGCAUGUGGUUUAAUUCGAAGAUACGCGCAGAACCUUACCAACACUUGACAUGUUCGUCGCGACUCUAAGAGAUUAGAGUUUUCGGUUCGGCCGGACGAAACACAGGUGCUGCAUGGCUGUCGUCAGCUCGUGUCGUGAGAUGUUGGGUUAAGUCCCGCAACGAGCGCAACCCUCACUUUUAGUUGCCAUCAUUAAGUUGGGCACUCUGAAAGAACUGCCAGUGAUAAGCUGGAGGAAGGUGGGGAUGACGUCAAGUCCUCAUGGCCCUUACGUGUUGGGCUACACACGUGCUACAAUGGCAUCUACAACAGGAAGCAAAACGGCAACGUUAAGCAAAUCCCGAAAAGAUGCCUCAGUUCGGAUUGCACUCUGCAACUCGAGUGCAUGAAGCUGGAAUUACUAGUAAUCGUGGAUCAGCGUGCCACGGUGAAUGCGUUCCCGGGUCUUGUACACACCGC
rnacentral:rRNA from 1 species